rnacentral:rRNA from 1 species
UACAGAGGGGGGCAAGCGUUGUUCGGAAUUACUGGGCGUAAAGGGCGCGUAGGCGGCUUUAUAAGUCGGGGGUGAAAGCCUGUGGCUCAACCACAGAAUUGCCUUCGAUACUGUAGAGCUUGAGACCGGAAGAGGUAAGUGGAACUGCGAGUGUAGAGGUGAAAUUCGUAGAUAUUCGCAAGAACACCAGUGGCGAAGGCGGCUUACUGGUCCGGUUCUGACGCUGAGGCGCGAAAGCGUGGGGAGCAAACAGG